rnacentral:rRNA from 1 species
UUUAAGUGAAGAGUUUGAUCCUGGCUCAGAGUGAACGCUGGCGGUAGGCCUAACACAUGCAAGUCGAACGGCAGCACAGAGGAGCUUGCUCCUUGGGUGGCGAGUGGCGGACGGGUGAGGAAUACAUCGGAAUCUACUCUGUCGUGGGGGAUAACGUAGGGAAACUUACGCUAAUACCGCAUACGACCUACG